UAUAUAUAUAUAUAUAUAUAUAUAUAUCUUAUAUUUUAUUUGAAAAAUACAAUGCUUAAUUAUAAUAUACUAAGCUAUUAUUUAUAACACACAAGACAUAUCGAGUAGUGUAAAUAUUUUCUAAUAUUGGCAUAAAUAGCUACAGACUUAUUUGUCAAUUAUUUCAUUGUAUCAUUGUACAAUAUAUUUGUUAAUAUUCAUUUUUUAUGUUUUUAAUGAUCAUCAUGUUUUGUCAAUGGCAUACAUCUAUGCAAAUGCCAAUCUAUUAGAUAUUUUUGUUAGGUAUAUAAAUUGGGAAUGCCAUGUUGUUAUAUGUGAUUAUGAAAAUUUAGCACAAACAAGAGAAUACAUUUGUAUCUAUUUUACUCUGAUAUAUAUAUAUAUAUAUAUAUUCUUAAAACACCUUUUAAAAUUUUGUCUAUUAAUUUAGUGUAUUGUUUGCAUAGCACAAUACUAUUUAAUGUGGGAAUAUUUUGAGUUAUAUAUUAUAUAUUUUGUAUUAAUAUUGGAUUUUUAUUUUUUAAAAAUUACUUAUAUAUAUAUAUAUAUAUAUAUAUAUAUAUAUAUAUAUGAAUAUGUACAAAUGUAUAAACAUUAGAUUUAAGCUAAAUUCUACGUAAGAAAGAGAAUUGUGCAAAAAAAAUAAAUUAAAAGAAUGUAUUGGUGAGAUAAUUGUAGUUUGAGAACUUGAUUGUUUCAAUAUAGAAUAAUGUAUCUCAUUAUAAAUAAAUAAAUAAUUUUAGUAAAUGACAAUAAUAUUAGAAUGUACCUCAGAAAAUAAAGUUUUGUACAAAUUCCUUUGAUACAUAUUCUUAAAAAUAAAACUAAUAUUUCUUCUCUAUGUGCUAAAAUCUACAAACAACUUUCAAUUAUUUAUAAAAUAGAUUGAUACAAGAUAUUUGCAAUAACCAUAUCUUUUCAAAUAAUUGAAUGCAUAAUUUAUAGGUUUUUCUUUUUAAUGUAUUCUCAAAUCUAUAUAAAGGAAUUGUAAUAUUUUCUACCAAUAUAUAUAUAUAUAUAUAUAAACAUACAUUUAUUUUAAUUUUGCAUCUUACAUGAAUUGUAAUGUUGUGUAAUGUCCCUAACUACAAACAAUCAUUCCCAUCUCCUUCCAAACGUCAUGGGCAUCUCCAUUCACGCUUAUUACAAAGAUUGCAGCAAAUCUUAGUGUGUUUAUCACCCACUAUUCAUGUGUAUAUGGUGCUCCUAUUCACCACCUUCCUAUCAAUCUCCAAAAUUCUAACACAUAUAUCUCAGCCAUAGUGGCUUGGUAUCCGGCUCGUACCUGCAGCAUGAUGAACAGAAAAAGCAAAA
rnacentral:lncRNA from 1 species